rnacentral:rRNA from 1 species
GAUGAACGCUGGCGGCGUGCCUAAUACAUGCAAGUCGAGCGAACAGACGAGGAGCUUGCUCCUCUGACGUUAGCGGCGGACGGGUGAGUAACACGUGGAUAACCUACCUAUAAGACUGGGAUAACUUCGGGAAACCGGAGCUAAUACCGGAUAAUAUAUUGAACCGCAUGGUUCAAUAGUGAAAGACGGUUUUGCUGUCACUUAUAGAUGGAUCCGCGCCGCAUUAGGUAGUUGGUAAGGUAACGGCUUACCAAGGCAACGAUGCGUAGCCGACCUGAGAGGGUGAUCGGCCAAACUGGAACUGGGACACGGUCCAGGCUCCUAAGGGGGGCCACCAUAGGGAAUCUUCCGCAAUGGGCGAAAGCCUGACGGAGCAACGCCGCGUGAGUGAUGAAGGUCUUCGGAUCGUAAAACUCUGUUAUUAGGGAAGAACAAAUGUGUAAGUAACUAUGCACGUCUUGACGGUACCUAAUCAGAAAGCCACGGCUAACUACGUG